GUCAUAACGGGUUCAUCACGGGCCGCCCCUUAAGAGUGUUUAUUAAACGGGCUUUACCCGUGAAUAAAAGGGUGCCCAUUAGGUUUUUUUUUCUUCAGAAUAUGUGAAACUACUUAAUUUUAUCUUAGGUUUCCUUAUCUCAAAACUAAUCUCGUUGUCGUCUCUCUCGUUUCUCCUCUCUGUGUCGAUGAAUCUCAAAACAUGAAUCCAAAUUGAGAAACCACUUUCUCUCUUUCAGUCUCUGGCAACCUCUCUCUCUCCAGCGACCUCUCUCUCUCUCGCUCAGAUUCCGGAUCUAAGUAGCAACCGUACAGCAGCUUGAGUUCAUUGCAGAAGCUUGGUCUCAGGUUAGCAAAAAACUAAAACCAGUGACAGACAUCUUUGUAUUGUUCUGUGUUUGCUUACCUUAAGUUUUAUGUAUAUUCAGAUUCUUAUUUCUCUGUACAACCUUUAGCUUCAUGUAUAUGCUUGCUUGGUGUUGAACUUAAUUAUGGACUCUGCUGGAUCUGUGAAGUUAAUUA